rnacentral:rRNA from 1 species
GACGAACGCUGGCGGCGUGCCUAAUACAUGCAAGUCGAACGCAGUGGGGACGGGUGAGUAACACGUGGGUAACCUCCCAUCAGAGGGGAUAACACUUGGAAACAGGUGCUAAACCGAUACUGAUGGAUGGACCCGCGGUGCAUUAGCUUGUGGGUGAGGUAACGGCUCACCAGGGCCACGAUGCAUAGCCGAGCUGAUAGUGUGAGCGGCCACACUGGGACUGAGACACGGCCCAGACUCCUACGGGAGGUAGCAGUAGGGAAUCUUCGACAAUGGACGAAAGUCUGACCGAGCAAUGCCGCGUGAAUGAAGAAGGUCUUCGGAUCGUAAAUCUCUGUCAUUAGAGAAGCGGUAUCUAACCAGAAACCCACGGCUAACUACGUGCCAGCAGCCGCGGUAAUUC